AACGAACGCUGGCGGCAGGCUUAACACAUGCAAGUCGAGCGAGACCUUCGGGUCUAGCGGCGGACGGGUGAGUAACGCGUGGGAACGUGCCCUUCUCUACGGAAUAGCCCCGGGAAACUGGGAGUAAUACCGUAUACGCCCUUUGGGGGAAAGAUUUAUCGGAGAAGGAUCGGCCCGCGUUGGAUUAGGUAGUUGGUGGGGUAAUGGCCCACCAAGCCGACGAUCCAUAGCUGGUUUGAGAGGAUGAUCAGCCACACUGGGACUGAGACACGGCCCAGACUCCUACGGGAGGCAGCAGUAGGGAAUCUUAGACAAUGGGGGCAACCCUGAUCUAGCCAUGCCGCGUGAGUGAUGAAGGCCUUAGGGUUGUAAAGCUCUUUCAGCUGGGAAGAUAAUGACGGUACCAGCAGAAGAAGCCCCGGCUAACUCCGUG
rnacentral:rRNA from 1 species